rnacentral:rRNA from 1 species
GACGAACGCUGGCGGCGUGCCUAAUACAUGCAAGUAGAACGCUGAAGGAGGAGCUUGCUUCUCCGGAUGAGUUGCGAACGGGUGAGUAACGCGUAGGUAACCUGCCUGGUAGCGGGGGAUAACUAUUGGAAACGAUAGCUAAUACCGCAUAACAGUAGAUGUUGCAUGACAUUUGCUUAAAAGGUGCAAUUGCAUCACUACCAGAUGGACCUGCGUUGUAUUAGCUAGUUGGUAAGGUAACGGCUCACCAAGGCGACGAUACAUAGCCGACCUGAGAGGGGGAUCGGCCACACUGGGACUUAGACACGGCCCAGACUCCUACGGGAGGCAGCAGUAGGGAAUCUUCGGCAAUGGACGGAAGUCUGACCGAGCAACGCCGCGUGAGUGAAGAAGGUUUUCGGAUCGUAAAGCUCUGUUGUAAGAGAAGAACGAGUGUGAGAGUGGAAAGUUCACACUGUGACGGUAUCUUACCAGAAAGGGACGGCUAACUACGUG